rnacentral:rRNA from 1 species
AUGUCCAGUCCAGGUGACUACGGCUUUCCAUCAACACACGAUAUCAACAGGAGCUCCAGGAACGGCCAGGGUGGCGGCAGUGGUCGAGAGGUGGGCGUGGCUCGGAUCGGCAGUGGCGACCGUCAUCUUCCUUUGGUCCAUGGUGUAGAACUACGUGCCCCCCAAUCUUCCGCCUCUACCUCACCAGCUGGGCCGCCAAGCUCGCGGCCUGCUUCAACCCCUACCUCCAGAUCGCCAUCUCCGAGUACGACACUGAGCGCUUCCAGCGUAGCGACUUCUUCCCUACCGUCGAAGCCUAACUCAGUGAUGCCUGCGCCCGCGCCAUGCACAAGCUCAAGGCCGAGCUCGGCAAAGACAGAAGAACCUUCGGAUCUUUGUUGA